UACGUAGGCGGCUCGUUAAGUUGGAUGUGAAAUCCCACGGCUCAACCGUGGAACUGCGUCCAAAACUGGCGGGCUUGAGAACGGUAGGGGACAGUGGAACUCCAGGUGGAGCGGUGAAAUGCGUAGAGAUCUGGAGGAACACCGGUGGCGAAAGCGACUGUCUGGGCCGUUUCUGACGCUGAGGUACGAAAGCCAGGGUAGCGAACG
rnacentral:rRNA from 1 species